GUAGCGGACGGGUGAGUAACGCGUAAAGAACUUGCCUCACAGGUAGGGACAACAUUUGGAAACGAAUGCUAAUACAUAAUACUGUGAGAGAGCUUUGCGUCCCAUUAGCUAGUUGGAGAGGUAACGGCUCACCAAGGCGAUGAUGGGUAGCCGGCCUGAGAGGGUGAUCGGCCACAAGGGGACUGAGACUCGGCCCUUACUCCUACGGGAGGCAGCAGUGGUGAAUAUUGGACAAUGGACCAAAGUCUGAUCCAGCAAUUCUGUGUGCACGAUAAAGUUUUCUGAAUGUAAAGUGCUUUCAGUUGGGAAGCGUGACCAACAGAAGAAGUGACGGCUAAAUACGUGCCAGCAGCCGCGGUAAUUC
rnacentral:rRNA from 1 species